UAGGGAAUCUUCCGCAAUGGACGCAAGUCUGACGGAGCAACGCCGCGUGAGUGAAGAAGGUUUUCGGAUCGUAAAACUCUGUUGUAAGAGAAGAACAAAUUGUAGAGUAACUGCUACAGUCUUGACGGUAUCUUACCAGAAAGCCACGGCUAACUACGUGCCAGCAGCCGCGGUAAUACGUAGGUGGCAAGUGUUGUCCGGAUUUAUUGGGCGUAAAGGGGGCGCAGGCUGCUUCUUAAGUCUGAUGUGAAAGCCCACGGCUUAACCGUGGAAGUGCAUUGGAAACUGGGAAGCUUGAGUACAGAAGAGGAAAGUGGAACUCCAUGUGUAGCGGUGGAAUGCGUAGAUAUAUGGAAGAACACCAGUGGCGAAAGCGACUUUCUGGUCUGUCACUGACGCUGAGGCCCGAAAGCGUGGGUAGCAAACAGG
rnacentral:rRNA from 1 species